rnacentral:lncRNA from 1 species
GGGGGGAAAUUAGGGGGUAAUUAGGGGUAAUUAGGUGGUAAUUAGGGGUAAUUAGUGGUAAUUAGGGGUAAUUAGUGGUAAUCAGGGUGUAAUUAGUGGUAAUUAGGGGGUAAUUAGUGGUAAUCAGUGGUAAUCGGGGGGUUAUUAGUGGUAAUCGGGGGGUAAUUAGGGGGUAAUUAGUGGCAAAUAGGGGUAAUUAGGUGGUAAUUAGGUGGUAAUUAGGGGUAAUCAGGGGUAAUCAGGGGCUAAUUAGGGGGUAACUAGGGGUAAUUAGUGGUAAUUAGUGGUAAUUAGGGGUAAUUAGUGGUAAUUAGUGGUAAUCAGGCGUGAUUAGUGGUAAUUAGGGCUAAUUAGUGGCCUGGGAAAAGGCUUCAGAGUGUGUGGGUUGGGAGAAAUGACAUUGGAGAGGUCCUGGAAGGGAAAAGAGGUGGAGUUCCAUUAACCCUCAGUGUUAAGUAUAGGCUUAAAGGGUCCUGGAAGGGAAAAGUGGAGUUCCAUUGACCCUCAGUGUUAAACAUUGGGUUAAAGGGUCCUGGAAGGGAAAAGAGGUGGAAUUCCAUUGACCCUCAGUGUUAAGUGUUAAAGGGUCCUGGAAGGGAAAAGUGGAGUUCCAUUAACCCUCAGUGUUAGGGCUUGGGUUAAAGGGUCCUGGAAGGGAAAAGUGGAGUUCCAUUAACCCUUAGUGUUAAAUGUUGGGUUAAAGGGUCCUGGAAGGGAAAAGAGGUGGGGUUCCAUUGACCCUCAGUGUUAAUUAUAGGCUUAAAGGGUCCUGGAAGGGAAAAGAGGUGGAGUCCCAUUGGCCCUCAGUGUUAAGUGUUGGCUUAAAGGGUCCUGGAAGGGAAAAGAGGUGGGGUUCCAUUAACCCUCAGUGCUAAGGGUUGGGUUAAAGGGUCCUGGAAGGGAAAAGUGGAGUUCC